AUUGAACGCUGACGGCAUGCUUUACACAUGCAAGUCGAACGGUAACAGGCCGCAAGGUGCUGACGAGUGGCGAACGGGUGAGUAAUGCAUCGGAACGUGCCCAGUCGUGGGGGAUAACUACUCGAAAGAGUAGCUAAUACCGCAUACGAUCUAUGGAUGAAAGCGGGGGACCGUAAGGCCUCGCGCGAUUGGAGCGGCCGAUGUCAGAUUAGGUAGUUGGUGGGGUAAAGGCUCACCAAGCCAACGAUCUGUAGCUGGUCUGAGAGGACGACCAGCCACACUGGGACUGAGACACGGCCCAGACUCCUACGGGAGGCAGCAGUGGGGAAUUUUGGACAAUGGGCGCAAGCCUGAUCCAGCAAUGCCGCGUGCAGGAAGAAGGCCUUCGGGUUGUAAACUGCUUUUGUACGGAACGAAACGGCUCUGGUUAAUACCCGGGGCUAAUGACGGUACCGUAAGAAUAAGCACCGGCUAACUACGU
rnacentral:rRNA from 1 species